AUUGAACGCUGGCGGCAGGCCUAACACAUGCAAGUCGAACGGUAACAGGAAGCAGCUUGCUGCUUUGCUGACGAGUGGCGGACGGGUGAGUAAUGUCUGGGAAACUGCCUGAUGGAGGGGGAUAACUACUGGAAACGGUAGCUAAUACCGCAUAACGUCGCAAGACCAAAGAGGGGGACCUUCGGGCCUCUUGCCAUCGGAUGUGCCCAGAUGGGAUUAGCUAGUAGGUGGGGUAACGGCUCACCUAGGCGACGAUCCCUAGCUGGUCUGAGAGGAUGACCAGCCACACUGGAACUGGGACACGGUCCAGACUCCUACGGGAGGCAGCAGUGGGGAAUAUUGGACAAUGGGCGCAAGCCUGAUGCAGCCAUGCCGCGUGUAUGAAGAAGGCCUUCGGGUUGUAAAGUACUUUCAGCGGGGAGGAAGGGAGUAAAGUUAAUACCUUUGAUCAUUGACGUUACCCGCAGAAGAAGCACCGGCUAACUCCGUG
rnacentral:rRNA from 1 species